rnacentral:rRNA from 1 species
AUGGUUCAGUGGUCAGAGAUCUGCAAACCUCGCGACCAGGGCGGACUUGGGAUCAUGUCCUCCAAACGCAUGAACAUUGCCCUUCUGACUCGGGGGCUUUGGCGGAUUGCCAACAAAGAUGGUGGCCUGUGGCUUCACAUCAUC